GGGGGUGUAGCUCAGUUGGUAGAGCGCUUGCAUGGCAUGCAAGAGGUCAGCGGUUCGAUUCCGCUCACCUCCA
rnacentral:tRNA from 1 species